rnacentral:tRNA from 1 species
GACGCGCUAGAUUUAGGUUCUAGUAUCGUACGAUGUGCAGGUUCGAUUCCUGUCAUCCGCA